UUUAUGGAGAGUUUGAUCCUGGCUCAGGAUGAACGCUGGCGGCGUGCCUAAUACAUGCAAGUCGAGCGAACAGACAAGGAGCUUGCUCCUUUGACGUUAGCGGCGGACGGGUGAGUAACACGUGGAUAACCUACCUAUAAGACUGGGAUAACUUCGGGAAACCGGAGCUAAUACCGGAUAAUAUUUUGAACCGCAUGGUUCAAAAGUGAAAGACGGUCUUGCUGUCACUUAUAGAUGGAUCCGCGCUGCAUUAGCUAGUUGGUAAGGUAACGGCUUACCAAGGCAACGAUGCAUAGCCGACCUGAGAGGGUGAUCGGCCACACUGGAACUGAGACACGGUCCAGACUCCUACGGGAGGCAGCAGUAGGGAAUCUUCCGCAAUGGGCGAAAGCCUGACGGAGCAACGCCGCGUGAGUGAUGAAGGUCUUCGGAUCGUAAAACUCUGUUAUUAGGGAAGAACAUAUGUGUAAGUAACUGUGCACAUCUUGACGGUACCUAAUCAGAAAGCCACGGCUAACUACGUGCCAGCAGCCGCGGUAAUACGUAGGUGGCAAGCGUUAUCCGGAAUUAUUGGGCGUAAAGCGCGCGUAGGCGGUUUUUUAAGUCUGAUGUGAAAGCCCACGGCUCAACCGUGGAGGGUCAUUGGAAACUGGAAAACUUGAGUGCAGAAGAGGAAAGUGGAAUUCCAUGUGUAGCGGUGAAAUGCGCAGAGAUAUGGAGGAACACCAGUGGCGAAGGCGACUUUCUGGUCUGUAACUGACGCUGAUGUGCGAAAGCGUGGGGAUCAAACAGGAUUAGAUACCCUGGUAGUCCACGCCGUAAACGAUGAGUGCUAAGUGUUAGGGGGUUUCCGCCCCUUAGUGCUGCAGCUAACGCAUUAAGCACUCCGCCUGGGGAGUACGACCGCAAGGUUGAAACUCAAAGGAAUUGACGGGGACCCGCACAAGCGGUGGAGCAUGUGGUUUAAUUCGAAGCAACGCGAAGAACCUUACCAAAUCUUGACAUCCUUUGACAACUCUAGAGAUAGAGCUUUCCCCUUCGGGGGACAAAGUGACAGGUGGUGCAUGGUUGUCGUCAGCUCGUGUCGUGAGAUGUUGGGUUAAGUCCCGCAACGAGCGCAACCCUUAAGCUUAGUUGCCAUCAUUAAGUUGGGCACUCUAAGUUGACUGCCGGUGACAAACCGGAGGAAGGUGGGGAUGACGUCAAAUCAUCAUGCCCCUUAUGAUUUGGGCUACACACGUGCUACAAUGGACAAUACAAAGGGCAGCGAAACCGCGAGGUCAAGCAAAUCCCAUAAAGUUGUUCUCAGUUCGGAUUGUAGUCUGCAACUCGACUACAUGAAGCUGGAAUCGCUAGUAAUCGUAGAUCAGCAUGCUACGGUGAAUACGUUCCCGGGUCUUGUACACAC
rnacentral:rRNA from 1 species